UGAAUAACAAAUAUUGCUUCCCUCUGCAUAUUUGGGGUUUACGGUUUUCAGUUCCGCUCAAAAUCGAUUGAUUCAACAGUUAACAAGGUUUAAGUAUUAGUUACUUGUUUCCAGUGGUUGGUUUGAAAUCGAUUUAGGUUUAUGAUUUUCGCAUUCCAGCACUUUUACAUUUGGGGUUUUUUAGUUGCAAAUUGGGGAUUUAGGUUUUCAGUUCUGCGCAAGAUUCAACCGUCCAAGACUUAACAAGCUUUAUUAGAGUUAUAACUAAAGGGAACUCAUCAUCUCAGCUUAGAGUUUUCUGGGGUUUUCAUUUCAAUUUGUGAAAGAUGAUAUUGAGAGAUGAACUCAUCAUCCAAGAGUUAACAAGACUUCAAUUUGUGAGUUUAGGGUUUAGGACUUGAAGAUCGGAUCAGCCAUUUCUGCACUCAAACAGUAGGUACUUCCUUUUUUCAUCUUUUACUUCUAGGUUUUUCAACUAUUGUGAAGAUGAAUGGUAGCGAUAUCGAAGGAUAUUGUUAAGCUUUGUUAGGGAUACUUAUACCAAGCUUGAGAUAAUUUCAUAUGAGUUUUAUGGCCAAUUGUUUUUCUGUAUGUGUAUAUUGGUUGAGAAUCUUCAAAUCAGAAACAUGAAAUUGUUUAGGUAGUGAAUGGUUUUCGGCAUUAAGAGUUUCUAAGAGGUUUCGGAAUUUUUGGGAGAUUUUUAUAGCAGCAAACAAGUGGUGUCCUUAUAAUAAUCUCUAGACUGUUUAAGGAUAAACAAGAUGUCACUCAGCAAUAUUCCAAGUUAAUCAUCUCAAGGUUACCAGUAAAAUCUGUAUUAGCAUGCAAAUGUGUGUGUAAGAGUUGGUUAAAAGUAGUUUAUUGCCUAAUUUCUGAUCCGGGUUUCGUGCAAAUGCAUCAUGAUUUUCAUAGAGAAAACUCUACUCGUCUCAUGCUUGGUAGUAUUGUUGGUGAAGACAUGAACGAUACUCUAAUACAUUCAGUUGGUUAUGACUCAUUAGCAUCCUUAUUACUGCGCGAAAUUGAAGAAGAAAAUAAUAAUAUUAAUGAUGUUGAAAUGCCUGAAAUUAAAGAUGAUAGUAAUGAUGUUGAAGUGGAUUAUUCUUCCUCAAGUGAGAAUUCAUCAUCAACAUUGACUGGGAUUGAUGGUUAUACUAGUCAAAUGGAUUAUCCAUUCAAAGAUUCCGGUCUUCCUGUGUAUUUAUUUGGUUCUUGUAAUGGUAUUCUCUGUUUAUGGUAUGACGGUCGGGAUGAUCAGGAUAACUUCUUUUGUCUUUGGAACCCAUCAACCAACGAAUACAAGAGAAUAUGUGAAGCGCCAAAAAGAUAUAGUUACAGUGACAUCACAUUGUAUGCUUUUGUUUAUGAUCCCACGGCUGACGAUUACAAGUUCUUGAUUGCUGAAAAUACUGAAAUGGAAUCUUUAGUCCGUCUCUAUUCGUUAGGAUCAGAUUCAUGGAGAAGAUUUCUCACACCUUAUACGUUCGUUUCGCCUCAAAAAUCUGGGUUACUUUUUAAUGGAGAUCUUCAUUGGCUCGCCCUGCAAACCCAUUAUACCAUAGUCUCUUUGGGUAUUACGAACGAGAUUUUCAAUGAAAUUCAACCACCGUCUGCAGGGUUGCAGCUUAUUCUUGUGGGGGUACUGGAAGAUUGCCUUUGUGUACUUGAUGAGGAUGAUGUUAUUGAUAUAUGGGCAAUGCAGGUUUAUGGAGAUCCAGAAUCAUGGACUAAACGUUAUACCAUUACCAAUGAGAUAAUAACUAGGAGAGUUCCUUGUCAUUGCACUAAUUUGAGGUUUAUGUGGUCCUUUAAAGAUGGUGUUAUUCUAUUCACAGAUGCACCUGACCUAGUUUUAUAUGAUCCAAAGUAUGGGAGUGCUAUCGUACCAAGAAUCUACCAUGUCUCGGCAGAGAAUUACUCAGAAAGUUUAGUUUCAUUAAACUCUGGUACCUAUGUUGGCAAAAGAACGGCAAAUAGUUCUUACACAGAGCUUGGGAAUCUUAAGCAUAGAAACUCAGUUCUUGAAGCACGUAUUACCGAACUUGAAGCAUAUAAUGCUGAACUACGGACAAAGCUUCAUGAGUCUCAAGUAGCUCAGAAAGAACUAGAGGAGAGUAAGAAAGACGAUGUAGAAGAAAUUGCUAUGACUAAGAAAAACGGUCGAAAGAGGAAGACGGAAUAUCAGUAUGAUACCAGGUGGGCCUCGAAAGCUGUUGCAUCCAUGUCAUCAACGGCGGGAGAAAUCACAAAUUUCGAAGACGAGAGUCUCACUGUACAGCAGAGAGCUGAGAAAGAGCAAGCUGAACUUGUUCUGUUGCAGACUGGUGGUACGCUGGAGCCUUACCAAAUCAAAGAGGGAUCUAAGACUCACUCCAGAUCCAAGGACACUUAUCAAACAAUGACCGUAAAGAUGCUGCGCGACCUUCUAAAAGAAAGAGGUUUGAUGGUGAAAGGAAAGAAGGAUGAGCUGAUUGCACGUCUCAGGGGCCUUUAAGAACCUUCCAGGACAUGCUUUCGAGGAUAUAGCAUCUUGGCAGAGGAAGUUAAUUCAAGAUCGAGUCCGUGCCUUAUGUGGUACCUGGUGCGUUAUUUAGUUCAUCACUUGUAUCUCAAAAUGCGUGAAAUUUGGAGCAUUCUUUUCAACUGAAUGAAAACAUUAGUCGUAUGGUUCGACUGACUUAUGCACUUCUGAUGAGGGAAACAUAUUCUCUACUGCGCCUGCAAGAUGCACACCACUUAGGUUCUAAUAUGUUUUUGCGCUCCCUAGGAAUGUAAUACAAAAACAUUGAAUCUAGGAUAUUUUACGAAGUAGCUUUUAUAAUAAUGGAACUUAUAGAUCAGUGCCUAGCAUUUCUGCUGAAGCAGAUGGCAGUGGCACAUUUGCCUUUGCUUCAUCCUCUUCAUGUGUUUCUUAGUUAAAGUUUGUUCUUGUUUUCAUUUUCUAUCUUAAUUCUGACAUGAUUGAGCCCAAUGGGCUGAUGUGA